rnacentral:SRP_RNA from 1 species
CGGAUUGACGCAACCCGGGUUUACAGAUAUAAUAAAGCAAGUGAUUGCCUCUCAGCAGCUUCGCCUGGCAUGUGCCGGGUCCUGCGCAAUAAGAAUCUGUGAACCUCGUCAGGUCCGGAAGGAAGCAGCGAUAAGCAGAGCCCCUUAUGUGCCGCAGACCAGCCGGGCACAUAUCCAACGCGGGGCUGCUGAGAGGCAAUCUUUUCAAUCUG